GCGGGUGUAGCCAAGUGGUUAAGGCAGUGGAUUGUGAUUCCACCAUUCGAGGGUUCGAUCCCCUUCAUCCGCC
rnacentral:tRNA from 2 species